CUCUAAAAUACUUUAUUGUUUCCUGCCAAUAGAACUGACAGAGUUAAUGAACAUUUAACAACAAAUCUCUUCAUAAUAAAUAACAAUUAAUAAAUAUAAAAAUAUUUUCCAGAAAAGAUUUUUAAACACUGUUGGAAUUACAAAUUGACAUUUCAGAAUCUAAUGCAUCCUGGGUAAUAUUUUCAAAAGUGUACACCAAAACGUCCUGAUUGGUUAAAAAUGUCAUAAACAAUGGAAAUUUAACCAAUGAUGUGACUUUAUUUUCAUUUUGGGGUACGAACAACGAAAUUACCCAUGAUGCUUUAGAUUUUAAAACAGCCAAUUGACAGCACUUUUUCUCACGAGACUCUAUGGUGUUACAAAUAAAAACAUGUCUUUGAAAGCAUACAAUAAAACUAUUGCACAAAAUAAAGCAAUCAAUGCCUCUCCUGAGAAUGGAUGUAAUUCUAAUAAAAGCUAUCACAGAAAAUAACAAAUAAAACAUUAAUUGAUUCUUAUUUACAAGACAUAUACACAAAGACAACAAACAAACAUGUGAGGGGCACAUAUGUUUGUAAGGUUUGAUUGCAUGAGAUAUCUAUAUGAAAUAUAAUAAUUAUUUGAUGCAAAAUGACUACUGCAUAUAUUGCAUAAAAUAAAUGAAAGAAAAACCUCUUGUAUUUAAUAAAAUCUGAAUUCAUCUCAAAAUUUUUAAACUCAAUAUUUAUAAGUCAAUUUACCAAAGAUAUUACCUUUUGCAUGAGAAUGUGUUUUUCGUUUGCUUUUUAGAUUUUUUUGCAGCAAUAUUAUAUUCAAUUUUGACAUGUAACUAAAUAACUGCAAUGAAAUUCUUCCCCAAAUUAGUGUCACACCUAUAUUUUGACAUUAAUUCUACCAAAAGUUUUUCAUGUACCUCAGAAUAAAAAAAAAAUCUACAGUGAAAAGCAUAUGAAAUUCACCAAAAAACAAACAUUGCAUGAAGCCGUCACUAAGCACAUUUUCUAAACCAAAUUACCAAUGAUAAUUUUCUUGCAUUUCAAAUAUUUGGUGUAUUUUUCAUUUUGGUGUGUAAUAAAUUUUGGCACUUAUAUAUAACAUCACAAUAAACAUCAAAAAUUGCAAAAAUAACUAUGACUGUAAUGUUCCAAAUGAGUGACAGAAUUAACUCUUAAAAACAUUGCUUUUCAUCAGAAGUUUUAUGAAUGGUUGCAAAUAAAUUUUAAUCAAGCACCAAAUCCCAUAAAAACCUUC
rnacentral:lncRNA from 1 species